GGGGAAGAUAAAUAUGGUUAUGAGAAGCCAGAGGAACGCUGGUUACCUAUCCAUACUGUGGAAACCAUCAUGAUUAGUGUCAUUUCUAUGCUGGCAGAUCCUAAUGGAGACUCACCUGCAAAUGUAGAUGCUGCGGCAAGCUUCCUCUGAUUUGGAACAAAAUAAAAACAGGCUGGUCUUCCCUUGUACCUGACACAGGCAAAUUGAGCUGGCACAGACAGCAGAGCUCUGUAAGGCAUGUUGAUAUUGAUUGCUUCUUUGUCUCAGGGGCUAUAAGAAAUAUAACAGAUCUCAAAGG